rnacentral:rRNA from 1 species
AUACGUAGGGGGCGAGCGUUGUCCGGAAUGAUUGGGCGUAAAGGGCGCGUAGGCGGCCCGGUAAGUCUGGAGUGAAAGUCCUGCUUUUAAGGUGGGAAUUGCUUUGGAUACUGUCGGGCUUGAGUGCAGGAGAGGUAAGUGGAAUUCCCAGUGUAGCGGGGAAAUGCGUAGAGAUUGGGAGGAACACCAGUGGCGAAGGCGACUUACUGGACUGUAACUGACGCUGAGGCGCGAAAGUGUGGGGAGCAAACAGGAUUAGAUGCCCUGGUAGUCCACACUGUAAACGAUGAAUGCUAGGUGUAGGGGGUAUCGACCCCUUCUGUGCCGCAGUUAACACAAUAAGCAUUCCGCCUGGGGAGUACGGCCGCAAGGUUGAAACUCAAAUGAAUUGACGGGG